GUGGCUGAGUGUUAAAGCGCUUGGCUUCCGAACAGGAGAUCCCGGGUUCGAAUCCUAGC
rnacentral:tRNA from 1 species